rnacentral:rRNA from 1 species
UAGCUGGUCUGAGAGGAUGRCCAGCCACACUGGAACUGAGACACGGUCCAGACUCCUACGGGAGGCAGCAGUGGGGAAUAUUGGACAAUGGGGGCAACCCUGAUCCAGCAAUGCCGCGUGUGUGAAGAAGGCCUGAGGGUUGUAAAGCACUUUCAGUGGGGAGGAGGGUUGSYAGGUUAAGAGCUARKUAAUGGACGUUACCCACAGAAGAAGCACCGGCUAACUCCGUGCCAGCAGCCGCGGUAAUACGGAGGGUGCGAGCGUUAAUCGGAAUUACUGGGCGUAAAGGGUGCGUAGGUGKUUWAUUAAGUUAUCUGUGAAAUCCCYGGGCUYAACCUGGGCAKGUCAGAUAAUACUGGUUAACUCGAGUAUGG